AUUGAACGCUGGCGGCAGGCUUAACACAUGCAAGUCGAGCGGAGAGAGGUAGCUUGCUACCGAUCUUAGCGGCGGACGGGUGAGUAAUGCUUAGGAAUCUGCCUAUUAGUGGGGGACAACAUUUCGAAAGGUAUGCUAAUACCGCAUACGUCCUACGGGAGAAAGCAGGGGAUCUUCGGACCUUGCGCUAAUAGAUGAGCCUAAGUCGGAUUAGCUAGUUGGUGGGGUAAAGGCCUACCAAGGGGACGAUCUGUAGCGGGUCUGAGAGGAUGAUCCGCCACACGGGGACUGGGACACGGCCCAGAGUCCGACGGGAGGCAGCAGUGGGGAAUAUUGGAGAAUGGGCGGAAGCCUGAUCCAGCCAUGCCGCGUGUGUGAAGAAGGCCUUAUGGUUGUAAAGCACUUUAAGCGAGGAGGAGGCUACUUUAGUUAAUACCUAGAGAUAGUGGACGUUACUCGCAGAAUAAGCACCGGCUAACUCUGUGCCAGCAGCCGCCGUAACAC
rnacentral:rRNA from 1 species